rnacentral:lncRNA from 1 species
CUCCUGUGACAUCCUCGGUUUACUUCAGGCACAUCUCCUAAGAAAUUGUUUAAGAAGGAAUAUUGUUUCCUUCAUAACAAUCAUACAUACUAUAUUCUUCUGUGGUUAUUUGUACGGGUUUUAUGCAAUUUUUAAAUUGUGCAGUUUUUUUUGCUAUGAUAGUAGUUCACACUGUGAAAAUUAUAAGAUUGAUGCACUGUUACUGUACAAGUUCCUUCUGUACAUUUUAGUACUGCAGGUGAAAUUCCUUUUACAAAAAUGACUGGCAGCUACUUGCACUCAUUCCCUCCUGGCAGCUCAACUCACAUGAUUGCGUGACUAUAAAACUUAAGGGCAGAAAGUUCGAGAACAACAUGACAACGACGUCCGAGAGCUGAGCUCAUCGAAAUGCAUGGAUGUGGACAGACGGCGCAAGGACCUGGGAACUAACCCCACAGUCUGCGGGCCAUCUAGACGAUCACCCGUCCCUUCAUUCCCCAGCUGUCAGCGACCAGCACAGGACACAUCGACCUCUUCCCCCGAGACUCCGCGGAGCUCAGCCUGAGGUAGGCAGAGGACAAAGGCCUGGUGCAAAGGUGAUGCCAAACUGCAGUUCUCAUGACAUAAAAGGCGAGACACAGAUGUGCAGUGUUUGA